ensembl:lncRNA
GCCCCGCACCGCGCCUGACCCCGCAGCCCCGCGGGCCGCUCCCCCACUCCAAAGCUGCUAUUUACGGGGCUUUCGCGUUUUCUUGCAAAUCAAGACCAAAAAAAAAAAAAAAAAAAAAAGAGAGAGAGAGAGGGAGAGAGAGAGAAAAGAAAAGCAAAAAAGAUGUAGAGAGCAAAACAAUGCGGGAGAUCUGGGCUGCAGCGGCAGAGCGGCUCCGGGAGCUGCUGGCCGCCCGCUCCGCACGGGCACGGCAGGGACAGGGAUAGGGCGGGGGGCACGGCCGCCCGCAGCCCUGAGUGCCGCCGCGGGAGCCACUUGUCUUGGGAACCUUGGGCAAGUUUCAUGCUUGUCUCUGAAUGCAGCUGAGCUGCUGAGCUUGCCUACAGCGCUGGUAUCUGGGUGAGGGGUGCGGCGGUCCUGGUGCAUGGGAACACUCCCUGGCAGCUUCUCACAAGGUCCUGCCUCCCUGGGUAUUUGCAGCAUGGACAUCAGUGAAGGCAAAGCAAUGAGCUCUAAGGGGAUUGCAAAAU